UACGGAGGAUGCAAGCGUUAUCCGGAUUAUUGGGUCUAAAGGGUCCGUAGCCGGUUUGGUCAGUCCUCCGGGAAAUCUGAUAGCUCAACUAUUAGGCUUUCGGGGGAUACUGCCAGACUUGGAACCGGGAGAGGUAAGAGGUACUACAGGGGUAGGAGUGAAAUCUUGUAAUCCCUGUGGGACCACCUGUGGCGAAGGCGUCUUACCAGAACGGGUUCGACGGUGAGGGACGAAAGCUGGGGGCACGAAC
rnacentral:rRNA from 2 species